rnacentral:rRNA from 1 species
CCUACGGGGUGCAGCAGUGGGGAAUAUUGCACAAUGGGGGAAACCCUGAUGCAGCGACGCCGCGUGAGUGAAGAAGUAUUUCGGUAUGUAAAGCUCUGUCAGCAGGGAAGAAAAUGACGGUACCUGACCACGAAGCCCCGGCUAACUACGUGCCGGCAGCCGCGGUAAUACGUAGGGGGCAAGCGUUAUCCGGAUUUACUGGGUGUAAAGGGAGCGUAGACGGCAGGGCAAGUCUGGAGUGAAAGGCGGGGGCUCAACCCCCGGACUGCUCUGGAAACUGCGAGGCUGGAGUGCAGGAGAGGUAAGUGGAAUUCCGAGUGUAGCGGUGAAAUGCGUAGAGAUGAGGAGGAACACCAGAGGCGAAGGCGGCUUACUGGACUGUAACUGACGUUGAGGUUCGAAAGCGUGGGGAGCAAACAGGAUUAGAUACCCCUGUAGUC